AGGGUGACAGUAAAUUGCCGGAUGCUCAAGCUUCUCAUGAAAAAACGAUUACCUCCCUAUUGCCGGCAUUGGCAGGCGCCAAUGUGAUCUACGGCUU
rnacentral:ncRNA from 1 species